UACAGAGGGUGCAAGCGUUGUUCGGAAUUAUUGGGCGUAAAGCGCGUGUAGGCGGCUGAGCAAGUUAGGUGUGAAAAGCCCUCGGCUUAACCGAGGAAGUGCGCCUAAAACUACUUAGCUUGAGUACCGGAGAGGAUGGUGGAAUUCCCGGUGUAGAGGUGAAAUUCGUAGAUAUCGGGAGGAACACCAGUGGCGAAGGCGGCUCACUGGACCGGAACUGACGCUGAGGCGCGAAAGCGUGGGGAGCAAACAGG
rnacentral:rRNA from 1 species